rnacentral:rRNA from 1 species
AAGCGUGCGCAGGCGGUUAUGUAAGACAGAUGUGAAAUCCCCGGGCUCAACCUGGGAACUGCAUUAGUGACUGCAUAGCUGGAGUACGGCAGGAGGGGGAUGGAAUUCCGCGUGUAGCAGUGAAAUGCGUAGAUAUGCGGAGGAACACCGAUGGCGAAGGCAAUCCCCUGGGCCUGUACUGACGCUCAUGCACGAAAGCGUGGGGAGCAAACAGGAUUAGAUACCCGGGU